rnacentral:rRNA from 1 species
ACGUCAAAUCAUCAUGCCCUUUAUGUCCUGGGCUACACACGUACUACAAUGGUUGUAACAGAGGGAAGCGAAACAGUAAUGUGGAGCGAAACCCUAAAAGCGACCUCAGUUCGGAUUGAAGGCUGAAAUUCGCCUUCAUGAAGCUGGAAUUGCUAGUAAUGGCAGGUCAGCAUACUGCCGUGAAUACGUUCCCGGGCCUU